UACGAAGGGGGCUAGCGUUGCUCGGAAUCACUGGGCGUAAAGCGCACGUAGGCGGAUUGCUAAGUCAGGGGUGAAAUCCUGGAGCUCAACUCCAGAACUGCCUUUGAUACUGGCGAUCUUGAGUCCGGGAGAGGUGAGUGGAACUGCGAGUGUAGAGGUGAAAUUCGUAGAUAUUCGCAAGAACACCAGUGGCGAAGGCGGCUCACUGGUCCAUUACUGACGCUGAGGUGCGAAAGCGUGGGGAGCAAACAGG
rnacentral:rRNA from 1 species